UGGGGAAUUUUGGACAAUGGGCGCAAGCCUGAUCCAGCAAUGCCGCGUGAGUGAAGAAGGCCUUCGGGUUGUAAAGCUCUUUUGUCAGGGAAGAAACGGCCUGGGCUAAUAUCCUGGGCUAAUGACGGUACCUGAAGAAUAAGCACCGGCUAACUACGUGCCAGCAGCCGCGGUAAUACGUAGGGUGCAAGCGUUAAUCGGAAUUACUGGGCGUAAAGCGUGCGCAGGCGGUUUUGUAAGUCUGACGUGAAAUCCCCGGGCUUAACCUGGGAAUUGCGUUGGAGACUGCAAGGCUGGAGUCUGGCAGAGGGGGGUAGAAUUCCACGUGUAGCAGUGAAAUGCGUAGAGAUGUGGAGGAACACCGAUGGCGAAGGCAGCCCCCUGGGUCAAGACUGACGCUCAUGCACGAAAGCGUGGGGAGCAAACA
rnacentral:rRNA from 1 species